UAAUACGAAGGUGGCUAGCGUUGUUCGGAUUUACUGGGCGUAAAGGGAGCGUAGGCGGUUUUUCAAGUCAGGCGUGAAAGCCCGAGGCUUAACCUCGGAAUUGCGCUUGAAACUGAUUGACUGGAGUAUGGGAGAGGAUAGCGGAAUUCCUAGUGUAGAGGUGAAAUUCGUAGAUAUUAGGAAGAACACCGGUGGCGAAGGCGGCUAUCUGGACCAUUACUGACGCUGAAGCUCGAAAGCAUGGGGAUCAAACAGG
rnacentral:rRNA from 1 species